rnacentral:rRNA from 1 species
GACGAACGCUGGCGGCGUGCUUAACACAUGCAAGUCGAACGGAAAGGCCCUGCUUUUGUGGGGUGCUCGAGUGGCGAACGGGUGAGUAACACGUGAGUAACCUGCCCUUGACUUUGGGAUAACUCCAGGAAACUGGGGCUAAUACCGGAUAGGAGCUCCUGCUGCAUGGGGGGGGUUGGAAAGAUUCGGCGGUUGGGGAUGGUCUCGCGGCUUAUCAGCUUGUUGGUGGGGUAGUGGCUUACCAAGGCUUUGACGGGUAGCCGGCCUGAGAGGGUGACCGGCCACAUUGGGACUGAGAUACGGCCCAGACUCCUACGGGAGGCAGCAGUGGGGAAUAUUGCACAAUGGGCGGAAGCCUGAUGCAGCAACGCCGCGUGCGGGAUGACGGCCUUCGGGUUGUAAACCGCUUUCGCCUGUGACGAAGCGUGAGUGACGGUAAUGGGUAAAAAAGCACCGGCUAACUACGUG